rnacentral:rRNA from 1 species
CCUACGGGAGGCAGCAGUGAGGAAUAUUGGACAAUGGGCGCAAGCCUGAUCCAGCCAUGCCGCGUGCAGGAUGACGGUCCUAUGGAUUGUAAACUGCUUUUGCACAGGAAGAAACAACGCUACGUGUAGCGUCUUGACGGUACUGUGAGAAUAAGGAUCGGCUAACUCCGUGCCAGCAGCCGCGGUAAUACGGAGGAUCCAAGCGUUAUCCGGAAUCAUUGGGUUUAAAGGGUCCGUAGGCGGUUUAGUAAGUCAGUGGUGAAAGCCCAUCGCUCAACGGUGGAACGGCCAUUGAUACUGCUAGACUUGAAUUAUUAGGAAGUAACUAGAAUAUGUAGUGUAGCGGUGAAAUGCUUAGAGAUUACAUGGAAUACCAAUUGCGAAGGCAGGUUACUACUAAUGGAUUGACGCUGAUGGACGAAAGCGUGGGUAGCGAACAGGAUUAGAUACCCUGGUAGUCCACGCCGUAAACGAUGGAUACUAGCUGUUGGGAGCGAUCUCAGUGGCUAAGCGAAAGUGAUAAGUAUCCCACCUGGGGAGUACGUUCGCAAGAAUGAAACUUAAAGGAAUUGAGG